UACGUAGGGGGCAAGCGUUGUUCGGAUUCACUGGGCGUAAAGCGUGCGUAGGCGGUUUGGUAAGUUUGGUGUGAAAUCUCCACUGCUCAACAGGGAGAAGCCACCGAAAACUGCCAGGCUAGAGGGUGGGAGAGGAAAGUGGAAUUCCAGGUGUAGCGGUGGAAUGCGCAGAUAUCUGGAAGAACACCAGUGGCGAAGGCGGCUUUCUGGACCAUUCCUGACGCUGAUGCACGAAAGCCAGGGGAGCAAA
rnacentral:rRNA from 1 species